GACAGAGGAUGCAAGCGUAUCGAUCGGAUGGUGCGUAAAGCGUCUGUAGGUGGCUUUUUAAGUCCGCCGUCAAAUCCCAGGGCUCAACCCUGGACAGGCGGUGGAAACUACCAAGCUGGAGUACGGUAGGGGCAGAGGGAAUUUCCGGUGGAGCGGUGAAAUGCGUAGAGAUCGGAAAGAACACCAACGGCGAAGAGCACUCGUGCUGGGCCGACACUGACACUGAGAGACGAAAGCUAGGGGAGCGAAUGGG
rnacentral:rRNA from 1 species